AGGCAAUUUCUGCCAAUGGACAAAAAAAGUACCCUUCAAACAGAUCUUGUUCUAAAGGUCCUUGGACUCGAUAUCUGUGCUGACACAAUGGUGGGAGGUGAGAUGAGAAGAGGCAUCUCUGGAGGUCAAAAAAGGGGACUGACUACAGGGGAGAUGGUUGUUGGUCCCACCUAUUUAUGGAUGAAAUAUCAAAUGGUUUAGACAGUUCAACAACAUAUCGGGUUGUUGCUUGUCUGCAGCAGCUGGUGCAUAUCACAGAUGCUACCAUAUUGAUUUCACUUCUUCUACCAGCUCUAGAGACCUUUUAAACUCUUUGAUGACAUCAUUAUGAUGGAAGAAGGGAAGGUUGUGUACCAAGAACCACGCGAUCAAGUUGUAUAAUUUUUUGAGGACUGUGGAUUCAGGUGUCCUCAAAGAAAAGGUGUAGCUGACUUUCUUUAGGAGUGCAGUUGAUCCUUUUGAAAAGGGGUGGAUGCGUCGGCUACACUGGACCAUUGGGAAAGAAUUCAUGCAGGCUUAUAGGGUAUUUUGAGGCAAUAUCUGGGGUGCCGAAGUUAGAGAUAACUACAAUCCAGCAACAUGGAUAUUAGAGCUCACAUCUCCAUCUUUAGAAGUUGAACUUUGUGUAGAUUUAGCCCAAAUAUACACAGAUUCUGCCUUAUAUGAGCAACGAGCAACUAGUUUGAUGAAUUUUCCUUGAAUUAAAUUAGUGAUCACAAGAAGUUUUCUGGUUCCAUUUCUUUCUCUUUAUAUGUGCUGACUAUGCCUAUUAAGACAUAAACACAUUUCAAACUUCAAAGUGUAAUUUCACUUGUAUACUUGACAGAAAACCAUGCCGA